AAUGCACCAAUUUGUAAGUCGCUCUGGAUACGAGCGUUUGCUAAAUGACUUAAA
rfam:Salmo salar isolate Sally breed double haploid chromosome ssa02, whole genome shotgun sequence.